rnacentral:tRNA from 1 species
GUGCCUGUAGUUUAGUGGUAAAACUUCAGCUUGUGGAGCUGAUAUCGAGAGUCCGAUUCUCUCCAGGCACC